ACUCUUCAACCCUCCAGUUCCUUGUUGAACUGAUAGGUGUUUGGAUUCUGAGCGCUGCUGGCCUAACCCUUUCGAGGGCACAGGGCGAAGCUCGUUCGUAAUACAUUAGCAACUCAAUUUCGAGUAUUCGGAUUGACUCGGCGUAAUAGACUAUUCGCUGAGGACACUUGUUUAUUCAGGUGGCCGAAUCUUGAGGUAGUAGCUUCUAAAACCGAUCAAAAGUCAAAUUUUUAG
rnacentral:misc_RNA from 1 species